AAGACAAUAAAAAGACAUUUUAUCUUGGUCGUAAACUUAUCGGUUAGUCGUAAACGUAUUAACAAAUUCGUUGGAGUUUAACGCAAUUGACAACUACGAUGGACAUUCCUUCGGCUCGCGCGAGUUAGUUCAUGGAGAUCUAUCAUACUCGUAAAUGUAAUUUACGCGAUGACGUGUCGUUACGUUGCUUGAAACGCAGUUAAGAACAAAACUGAUGACUAUUUUCAUUCGGAUAUAUCUUCUUCAUGUACGAUGGCUAAAAGUCAUUGUCUAAAAUUCAAGCGACGAUAUAUCAUCAAUCAGGAUAUUAGAAAUCGUUUCUAAGAACAAUAGGAAUAGUAAAAGUGACGCUCUAGUGAAAAUAACAUUGACAGUUAAGUAAAUGAUAAUUCAUUGCCUUUUACAUCUAAACGCAUUUCUAAUAAUUAAGCAAGAUUAGAAACCUCUCUCUUUUAAUAAACAUUGUUUCCAGAAUCAUUCCUAAACGUAUCAAAGAUGUAAUAUUCGCAUUGAGUAGACAACGGCACGAGAAGGCAAUGCUUAUAAAUAGUGAAGUUAUGCCACGAAGAAAAGAAGAAAAAAGUAAUAAUAAAUAAAGAGAAAGGUAAAUAGAUCCUUCUCUUCCUGGCAGUAAGACGUUAAUACAUGGAAGAGAAGCAAGUCAAAACGAUGUAACUGUUUCCUGAUGCCAUUGACCUCCCAUGGCAGCAACUGUCUCUCGUGUACCAUCCACAACACAUUUCUUUUAAUAUACUUUACUUCCUAGUAAAUAAAGACUACACUGAAACGCGAGACGCCGCGCGUCGUAACGCCAAGUUUAUCUUAUUGUUCUUAAGCAUGGAGUUCGUGAACUUUUCGAAAAUAGUCAAGAAAAUUCAAAUUAGGAACGUAUAACGAAGAUAAAUAUAAUGUUUUUGCUUACGAAUCACCUAUGGACUUACAAUAUAGAAAAUUGAGAGAGAGAGAGAGAGAGAGAGAGAGAGAGAGAGAUGGAAUAAAAGUUUGGAAUGUUGAAACAAAUAUUGAGACAUUCGAUUCUGUCGGAGAAUUCCAGAGGAAGGCACGCUUCUAAAAUAGAAACCUUCUGAUAGCGUAUAGGGCACGUAUAACGCGAAUAUCCUUUCGUUGCUGCUGCGUCAUCUAAAAUACUACCAAUCCUACUUUCUUUCUCUGCGAUAUUAAAAAAUAACUUUGUCCUUUGGAGUUUAUAACGCAAAAACCAGAACGACAACACUUGAUUUUAUCCUUGAAAGAGAAGAAAUAACUCUACGAGUAAAUAAUCGCUUUAUUUUGAACAGUUGUAAACCGAUCGAAGUGAACGUUCAGUUUAGAAAUGUAUUUUUACGUAUCAAUCGCUUAUAAUGGGAAAAAUAUUAUAGUUUUUAUGUGGUGUUGCUUCAUCGAUCGAUUUUAUUUAAUCCAUGCAUUGAAAAACGAAACGAUAUAACAAUCAAACAACAAGGAAACGGAAGAAUAACAUAAAAGUUGGAAAGAAUGCAAACACCGGCCGGUUUACCGACCGACGAUCGGCUUGUCAAACCGGCACAGCCGCGCCCUUGACUAUAUUUAGAAGCAUCUAUACGACGUGCUUCUUUCAGGGAACAUUCUACUUCUCUUUUUUUUCGCAUCACUGGACAACAGCCAUUUUCAAAUCGACCAAACGCGGAUCGUCAUUAUAAUCGUCAUAUACACCUGCCUAAUUGUGUCGGCAAACGAAUAGAUAAAUAAUAACGUUUUUUUUUUGUUUUUUUUUUUUUUCGAAUAAAGCCUCUUUCAAUGAAGUCUCAAAUAUGUAUAACCAUAAGUAUAUUAUUUAAUCAAUUGUUUGUGCGAUUUAGUAAUCCCCAUUGAAGGCAAAUUGUGAAUUAAAUAGGAAUAGAGAGACAUGUUUUGUUAUUUUCAGGUAUGAUUCAGACUUAAAUAUAUGAAUUCUAUUAGUAAGAGAGAGACGCUCAUUGUGUCCAACUCACAGAUCGGUACGGUAGGUUUAUUGCGCAAUAUGAACGUUUCUAUCUGUUUUUUCAUAUGAAUCUGUUUGACGAUCAAUUUUUCCUUAUACCAAGCGAUUUCGAGCUCGAUGAUGAACAUGUUAAAAGGCCUGAUCUAUUAGAUCGAGACAUAAAAAUUCUCUUUGGAAAAUAAAAUUUGUAUAAUAGUAAUUAGAAAUGAAAUUUAAAGAUUAAUAAAAUAAUUAAUAUAUACGAUAUGGUAACUUACAAAUAGCCAUGUUGAAAAUCGAAGUAGUAAUUAGAGAUUCCUCGAUACGAGCGUGCCGGUAUACACCUUAGACAGAAUUCGAACUGGUACUGCGUUAAGCUGGCAUUUUCCAUUCCUUUUACUUACGGUUGUCGGCAUGGGAGGAGAUUUCGCACAUGCGCAGACGCGGCACACCUAACGUUGCAUCUACAAACAGCGUUAUUGCGGAUAAAUCGCAAACUAGUGUAUCCCUAUAUAUAAUAUCCCCGUUUAUAUAUUUUUGACGAUUAAACGAUUAAUAAAGGUCCAACUUUAUAAGCAUUUCAUGUUAUGUUGAUAAACGAAAAAAAAAUUAAUAGGUUUUUCAAUUAAUCAAUCACCAACCAAUCAAUAUUCAUUACUUGCUGAUGAU